UACGGGGGGAGCAAGCGUUGUUCGGAUUUACUGGGCGUAAAGGGCGCGUAGGCGGCCACCGCAAGUCAAUUGUGAAAUCUCCGGGCUUAACUCGGAAAGGUCAACUGAUACUGCGGGGCUAGAGUGCGGAAGGGGCAACUGGAAUUCUCGGUGUAGCGGUGAAAUGCGUAGAUAUCGAGAGGAACACCUGCGGCGAAGGCGGCGACCUGGACAGUGACUGACACUCAACUGCGAAAGCGUGGGGAGCAAACAGG
rnacentral:rRNA from 1 species